AGUGAACGCUGGCGGUAGGCCUAACACAUGCAAGUCGAACGGCAGCACAGUAAGAGCUUGCUCUUACGGGUGGCGAGUGGCGGACGGGUGAGGAAUACAUCGGAAUCUACUUUUUCGUGGGGGAUAACGUAGGGAAACUUACGCUAAUACCGCAUACGACCUACGGGUGAAAGCAGGGGAUCUUCGGACCUUGCGCGGUUGGAUGAGCCGAUGUCGGAUUAGCUAGUUGGCGGGGUAAAGGCCCACCAAGGCGACGAUCCGUAGCCGGUCUGAGAGGAUGAUCAGCCACACUGGAACUGAGACACGGUCCAGACUCCUACGGGAGGCAGCAGUGGGGAAUAUUGGACAAUGGGCGCAAGCCUGAUCCAGCCAUCCCGCGUGUGUGAAGACGGCCCUCGGGUUGUAAAGCCCUUUUGUUGGGAAAGAAAAGCAGCCGCUUAAUACCCCGCUGUUCUGACGGUACCCAAAGAAUAAGCACCGGCUAACUUCGUG
rnacentral:rRNA from 1 species